ACGUUAGCGGCGGACGGGUGAGUAACACGUGGGUAACCUACCUAUAAGACUGGGAUAACUUCGGGAAACCGGAGCUAAUACCGGAUAAUAUUUCGAACCGCAUGGUUCGAUAGUGAAAGAUGGUUUUGCUAUCACUAUAGAUGGACCCGCGCCGUAUUAGCUAGUUGGUAAGGUAACGGCUUACCAAGGCGACGAUACGUAGCCGACCUGAGAGGGUGAUCGGCCACACUGGAACUGAGACACGGUCCAGACUCCUACGGGAGGCAGCAGCC
rnacentral:rRNA from 1 species